GACACGGCCAGCCUCACCGAAUCCCCGUGCUGACACGGCUGGACACGGUGGAACGGCUGGACAGCGCCUGGAUCUGAACGCCGCCGUCCCCGAACUGCAGCAGCCUCUCCUCCCAACGGCGACCAAGCUGGAACAGGUAACUUACACCUCUUUCAUCUAUUUUGCUUUGAUUUAUUGUUGAGUUGCUGGCCUAUUGCUGACUGCUUAUUGCUGCUGCUGAAGUGCUGAACUGCUGAUUGCUUAUUGCUACUGCUGCUGCUGACUGAUGUUUGCUUAUUUCUGCUGCUGCUGAUUGCUUAUUGCUGCUGCUCCUGACUGCUGUAGUGUUGUACUGUUGUUUGCUUAUUGUUGCUGGCCUGCUGCUGCUGAUUGCUUAUUGCUGCUGCUGAUUGACUGCUGUUGAUUGAAUGAUUGGUUGCUGCUGCUGCUGACUGACUGAUUCACUUGAUUGGAUGCUAGGGAACAUUGCAUCUGGGAGCCAUGGAGCUACAUCUGGGAGCCAAUCAUCAGUGGGUGAGAGUGAGGGAGGGCAACAUGGACCUGGUGGGGUGGAUCCAAAAUAUCCUCUUUGGGCUUAUGUUCAGAGAGUUGUCAAUGAAACCGGUGCUUCUUCGUCCGGUAGCCAUGGAGGAAACAUCAAAUUCAAGUGCAAUUUGUGCCUCAAAACUUAUCCAGGCACCUAUUCAAGAGUGAAGGCUCAUCUGCUUCAGAUAAAAAAAAGGAUAUAGCAACUUGUGACAAAAUUUCACAGCCUGCAUUUGAA
rnacentral:lncRNA from 1 species